UACGGAGGGGGCUAGCGUUAUUCGGAAUUAUUGGGCGUAAAGGGCGCGUAGGCGGCCAAGUAAGUCAAAGGUGAAAUCCCUCGGCUCAACCGAGGAACUGCCUUUGAAACUACUUGGCUCGAGGCCGGGAGGGGGUAGCGGAAUUCCCAGUGUAGCGGUGAAAUGCGUAGAUAUUGGGAGGAACACCGGUGGCGAAGGCGGCUACCUGGACCGGUUCUGACGCUGAUGCGCGAAAGCGUGGGGAGCAAACAGG
rnacentral:misc_RNA from 1 species